GUGGGGAAUAUUCCGCAAUGGACGAAAGUCUGACGGAGCAACGCCGCGUGAGUGAUGAAGGUUUUCGGACUGUAAAGCUCUGUUGUUUAGGACGAAAGUGCCUGUUGCAAACAGUUACAGGUAUUGACGGUACUAAACGAGGAAGCCACGGCUAACUACGUGCCAGCAGCCGCGGUAAUACGUAGGUGGCAAGCGUUGUCCGGAAUUAUUGGGCGUAAAGAGCAUGUAGGCGGGAAUCUAAGUCUGUUGUGAAAAUGCGGGGCUCAACCCCGUAUUGCGAUGGAAACUGGGUUUCUUGAGUGCAGGAGAGGAAAGGGGAAUUCCCAGUGUAGCGGUGAAAUGCGUAGAUAUUGGGAGGAACACCAGUGGCGAAGGCGCCUUUCUGGACUGUGUCUGACGCUGAGAUGCGAAAGCCAGGGUAGCGAACGGGAUUAGAAACCCGAGUAGUCC
rnacentral:rRNA from 1 species